CAGUUAUAGAACAAUACAGAAAUGAGGAUUUCACAUCCCAGCUAUUGAUAAAUUUCCAGUGCUUCCUGCUUCUAGUCAGGCUGGAAAUACAUAACCUGUGUCAUGGUACUUCUGCUACUGGGCUUGGAAAAAGGAGUAAAAGGACUUCAGCAGCAGGGUGGAUAGAGGAUCCCCACCUAUCCAACAUCACCACUGGGAUACUCAGGAUCUCCUUUAAUGUCAAUAAUAUUAGGCACUCAGUGAUCACAAUGGUAAGGGCUGAGAAAAGGAAGGAAUAAUCGAACUGGAGCCCUGAGCUCAGGUGUGCCACCAAACAUCUGUAAUGUCUAUGUAAAUAAAGUGAAAUGGGAGGCAGUGGAGUCUCAGCAAACAUGAUAUACCAGGGCCCCUAAUUUCUCUUGAUGGGCCUGACAAUGUGCUAGGUGAAGAAUCAAAGAAGGCAUGCUCCCUGCCCAGGAAAGCUUACGUUUUGUAAAGUUAAUACUGUGCAGCUGGACAUUAAUUUCCUGUAAUAGUUUUGAGCCAGUUUACCAUAUCAAAAAUAUUUUG